rnacentral:rRNA from 1 species
UACAGAGGGUGCGAGCGUUGUUCGGAAUUAUUGGGCGUAAAGGGCGCGUAGGCGGUGCGGUAAGUCACCUGUGAAAUCUCCUGGCUCAACUGGGAGCUUGCAGUCGAAACUGCCGUGCUGGAGUGUGGGAGAGGUGCGUGGAAUUCCUGGUGUAGCGGUGAAAUGCGUAGAUAUCAGGAGGAACACCUGUGGCGAAAGCGGCGCACUGGACCACAACUGACGCUGAGGCGCGAAAGCUAGGGGAGCAAACAGG